UUGACGGGGAGCACUACAACGGGUGGAGCCUGCGUUUAAUUGGACUCAACGCCGGAAAACUCACCGGGGGCGACAGCAAUAUGUAGGUCAAGCUAAAGACUUUACCAGAAUCGCUGAGAGGAGGUGCAUGGCCGUCGUCAGUUCGUACUGUGAAGCAUCCUGUUAAGUCAGGCAACGAGCGAGACCCGUGCCCACUGUUGCCAGCAUGUCCUUCGGGAUGAUGGGUACUCUGUGGGACCGCCGAUGCUAAAUCGGAGGAAGGUGCGGGCUACGGUAGGUCAGUAUGCCCCGAAUCUCCCGGGCUACACGCGGGCUACAAUGACUGGGACAAUGGGCUCCUACCCCGAAAGGGGAUGGUAAUCUCAUAAACCCAGCCUUAGUUCGGAUCGAGGGCUGUAACCCGCCCUCGUGAAGCUGGAAUCCGUAGUAAUCGCGUUUCAACAUAGCGCGGUGAAUACGUCCCUGCUCCUU
rnacentral:rRNA from 1 species